UUAGAGGCUGCUAAGGUGAUAUGGUGAGGCAGAAGACACUGAAAAUACCCUCUUGCAGAAGAGUUCCCUAUUGUCAAACAUCUUUCCAUGGCCUGGAGAACACCAGAAUUGCACUUAUUUAACUCAGUCUUUUGAAUUAGACUUGCAUUUUCUCUGGAAGCCUGUACACUGUUGACUCUUCACCUGAGAAAACUCUAGGCUCAACAACUGUUACUUCCAGAGGAUUUCAGCAUCUCAGAAGUACUCCCUGGAGAAGUAGGACUUCUGAUAAAUGCUUGGCUGCCAAAUGGGCUGAAGCUAUGAGAAAGUGAAAUCAACCCUUGGAUAUAUGAAGAAAAGAAUCAGAACCCAGAAGCCCAGGAUACCCUGAUAAAACUUCAGCAGGUUCAGCUGGUGACUUCUUCCAAAUGAAGAAAGGAAAAUACAUCUGUGGACUUCAUACUGGACGUGCUGUGGCUGCUGGGUAGGACAGGAAUAGGAAGCAGAGACACAUUUGCUGCAACAGUUUUAGCUGAUGAAAUCCAAAGGGAUAUGAGAAGUAUGGAAUGCAUAUCCAGGGGGAAAGUCGGCAGCUCUAUAUAAAGCAACUAUUUUUACAGAGUAUCACCUUCUUGGUGGUGAUGAAUUGGGAAGAGAAUAUAUAUAGUACUCAGAAGAUUAAAAUUUCAAAUUAGAAGAAUGAUGUGGUUAAACAUAAAAUGAGUAUGAAACCAGUGAUUGGAAAGUUUUCAGUUAUAUUUCUAUUUCAUACCAGCAUAUCUAUUUUUAAAACUUUAAUUCAGAAAUAUUUUAUAAAAGAUCCUACUGAUGGAAAUUGAUCAAACUUCAAAAUGGCUAGUAUUAGCAGAAAAUCCUGAAUGAUGUAGCUGUUUAAUGUGCUGUCUUUGAUAAUCUAUAACAAAAUAAAAUACAUAAAAUCUGGCUUCAAAGAACAGAAUUGUUACUCUUUGAAAGAACUUUGAACUGAAAA